GACGAACGCUGGCGGCGUGCUUAACACAUGCGAGUCGAACGGAAAGGCCCUGCUUGCCGGGUACUCGAGUGGCGAACGGGUGAGUAACACGUGGGUGAUCUGCCCUGCACUUCGGUAUAAGCCUGGGAAACUGGGUCUAAUACCGGAUAGGAGCCAUUUUUAGUGUGAUGGUUGGAAAGUUUUUUCGGUGUAGGAUGAGCUCGCGGCCUAUCAGCUUGUUGGUGGGGUAAUGGCCUACCAAGGCGGCGACGGGUAGCCGGCCUGAGAGGGUGGACGGCCACAUUGGGACUGAGAUACGGCCCAGACUCCUACGGGAGGCAGCAGUGGGGAAUAUUGCACAAUGGGCGCAAGCCUGAUGCAGCGACGCCGCGUGGGGGAGGACGGCCUUCGGGUUGUAAACGCCUUUCGCUAGGGACGAAGCUUUUUGUGACGGUACCUAGAUAAGAAGCACCGGCUAACUACGUG
rnacentral:rRNA from 1 species